UACAGAGGAUGCAAGCGUUAUCCGGAAUGAUUGGGCGUAAAGCGUCUGUAGGUGGCUUUUUAAGUCCGCCGUCAAAUCCCAGGGCUCAACUCUGGACAGGCGGUGGAAACUACCAAGCUGGAGUACGGUAGGGGCAGAGGGAAUUUCCGGUGGAGCGGUGAAAUGCGUAGAUAUCAGGAGGAACACCGAUUGCGAAGGCAGCUCGCUGGGACGUUACUGACGCUGAGACGCGAAAGCGUGGGGAGCAAACAGG
rnacentral:rRNA from 1 species